CGGCCUCCACCCGACUGUUCUCGUUUGGUUGGGUUCGGGGGUCCCCCCAACGGGUAGGGAACCCCCAAGGAACGGAAGAAGAGACAAAGAAGAACUAGUUCUUCCAUCCAUGAAUCGACGAUGAAAGACCGGUAAUGAAGGAGAGACCCUUCCGAGGAUUGAAAUACCACCACCCUCGGGCUUUAGGGUGGGGUCAGAGAACA
rnacentral:lncRNA from 1 species